rnacentral:rRNA from 1 species
AGCACCAUAGGGAUUUUCCCCAUGGACGAAAUUUGACCGGACAACGCCGCGUGAGUGAUGAAGGUUUUCGGAUCGUAAAGCUUUGUUGUUAGGGAAGAACAAGUGCGAGAGUAACUGCUCGCACCUUGACGGUACCUAACCAGAAAGCCACGGCUAACUACGUGCCAGCAGCCGCGGUAAUACGUAGGUGGCAAGCGUUGUCCGGAAUUAUUGGGCGUAAAGGGCUCGCAGGCGGUUUCUUAAGUCUGAUGUGAAAGCCCCCGGCUCAACCGGGGAGGGUCAUUGGAAACUGGGAAACUUGAGUGCAGAAGAGGAGAGUGGAAUUCCACGUGUAGCGGUGAAAUGCGUAGAGAUGUGGAGGAACACCAGUGGCGAAGGCGACUCUCUGGUCUGUAACUGACGCUGAGGAGCGAAAGCGUGGGGAGCGAACAGGAUUAGAUACCCUGGUAGUCCACGCCGUAAACGAUGAGUGCUAAGUGUUAGGGGGUUUCCGCCCCUUAGUGCUGCAGCUAACGCAUUAAGCACUCCGCCUGGGGAGUACGGUCGCAAGACUGAAACUCAAAGGAAUUGACGGGGGCCCGCACAAGCGGUGGAGCAUGUGGUUUAAUUCGAAGCAACGCGAAGAACCUUACCAGGUCUUGACAUCCUCUGACAACCCUAGAGAUAGGGCUUUCCCUUCGGGGACAGAGUGACAGGUGGUGCAUGGUUGUCGUCAGCUCGUGUCGUGAGAUGUUGGGUUAAGUCCCGCAACGAGCGCAACCCUUGAUCUUAGUUGCCAGCAUUCAGUUGGGCACUCUAAGGUGACUGCCGGUGACAAACCGGAGGAAGGUGGGGAUGACGUCAAAUCAUCAUGCCCCUUAUGACCUGGGCUACACACGUGCUACAAUGGACAGAACAAAGGGCUGCAAGACCGCAAGGUUUAGCCAAUCCCAUAAAUCUGUUCUCAGUUCGGAUCGCAGUCUGCAACUCGACUGCGUGAAGCUGGAAUCGCUAGUAAUCGCGGAUCAGCAUGCCGCGGUGAAUACGUUCCCGGGCCUUGUACACACCGCCCGUCACACCACGAGAGUUUGCAACACCCGAAGUCGGUGAGGUAACCUUUAUGGAGCCAGCCGCCGAAGGUGUACCAGUAGAGU